CACAUUAAAAAGGAUCUGGCAAUUGGGAAUAAAAUUUUAAAUGACAAAACGGAGAACACAUCACGCUAGAAAAUAUUUCGUUGGAAAAAGAUUUGGGCAUAUCAGUAGAUGAUCAAUUAGACUUUCGAACGGAUAUACAAAACUUUAUUGAUAAAGUAAAUUCUUUUCUGGGCAUCAUCAUGACAGCUUUUAUGUUCAAUGACGAAAUGCAUGUUUAAACAACUGUUGAGGGCAGUCAUGACAUAAUUUGGAUUACCCGGCGUGUGUAUGGAACCCCUAUAUAAACAGAAGGAUAUCGACAUGCUAGAAAGUGUACAACGUAGAGCUACAAAACACGUACCAGAGCUAAAGGAACUAUCCGAUAGAAAACGAUUACAGAAGUUAAAACUCCCUACACUGAAAUACAGGAGGAUGUGAGGGGACUUGAUAAAAAAAAUAAAAUAAUCAAAAACUUUUUCGAUAACAGAGUAACCUCAUAUUCAUUUAAUUUUGACGUCGACCAGCAAACUAGUGGCCACAAUUUUAAAGCGACUAUUCGGGGAAACAAACUUAGUCUAGAUGCAUUAUCUGGUCUUCCAAAAGUUCUAUCACAGCAAUGCGAUGGUCAAGUUCUGCUUGCAUUGUCCAGUUUUGACCACUUUAAUUCGGGAAAAGCCCUGUCCUAAUAUAACACAUAUCUAUUUUUAUAAGUCACGUGGUAUUUCGAAAACGAGGCAGUGAGAAAACGUCAACAGAAACACGUGAAUUUUUAGAGAUGUCCGAUUCAUCAAGCAGUCAAAGCAGUAACACGAUAGAUUAUGAAUAUGCACAAGUCCAUACAUCCCCAAGGAGGGGGAGGGGAUUAAGGAGGAGGGGAGGAACCUGUGGACGGCUAAGGGGUCGAGGAAGGAGUCUCGGGGCAGACAGCAGUCCAAGGAUGGAGAGGGCGAGGUAGAGGAAGGGGGCCAAGGGGUGCACAUGGUACAGUUGCUGUGCUGCAGCAGGAGGAUCGGGCCAGGGUACUGACAUUGCAACAGCAAAGGAGAAGGGAUCUACAUGAACCUUGCGCUCCUAUCAUACAAAGCUAAUAAUCAUAUUUUUGUAAUAUUAGUAGUGUGACUUUCUGUAUGCUACUGUUUUAUGAAUGUUAUCCACAAUUUACUUCAUCAUUCAAAUUAUUUUGACUAGUUGAUAAUCAAUUACAAAGUACUGUAUUA